CCAAACUGCAUCUCGCAGUAUGUUUCUGCCCACGGGGACAGACCGCGCGUUAAGGAAAUGGCCCAAUAAUUAGGACUCGGGGGUUUCACUGGGGCGCCGCUACGGUUCCUAUGGCAACGCGGCUCCUCGACGCAGCCCAGGAGUCGCGGUCGCGGGAGGCUGCGCCGCGCACCGAGCUCUUCCCUGUGGCCGCCGCAGCCGCCAGCCUCUUCCUGCUCAUGCUUUUCCUCAUCUUCAUCUCGGUCUGAGUGGGCUCUGGACCUCUCCACCAGCCUCUGCCCCAGAACUGUUAACUGCGGGGGGGAAAAAAGGAAUUUGUCGUCGCAACGCGCGUUCCGAUGGAGCCGCACGCCACAAAGGAAGACUCAUGCUGCACCCCGCGGGGCAGAUGCGGCGACACUGGACAUCGCUGCACAGCUGGGUCUGCCCGUUUCCAGAGCUGCUUAGCGCCGACGCCCAUAAAUGAGGAGGACUCCCUGUGUAUUAAAAGGGGGAUCCGCAGGGUUUAAUUUGAUAAGGAUUAUAGCCUUCAUAAAGGCAUUUUUAACAAAAAGAUGUAGGUGGCAUGGUAAUCGAGUAUUAUUUACGCAUCUCUCCGCACACGCACUCAUACCUGAAAACGUUUUGGCAGGCACAAAAUGAUUUUUUUGUGUAUAAAGAAUGUGUGUAACUCGUGGAUGGUGGGGUUCAGCAGGACAGAUUAGUGACAUUAGAUAAUUUACAACGAGGAUUAUGUUUGUGCUGAAAAUAAAAGCUAUAUUGUUUAUUUAGUUCAUUGCCAUUUGCAUGUGUCCAAGCCUUUUAUUAACAUUAACCAGCUAGAAAAUAAUGGCAUAAUGACCACCUAACCUGUUU
rnacentral:lncRNA from 1 species